AUGGCAGAAUGCUUCAAUAAGGUGCUCAAGGGUGUACGUGCAUUACCCGUGACGGCAAUAGUUCAAUACACAUUUGACAAGUUGAAUGAAUACUUUUUAAAGCACUCAAUGGAGACUGAUAAGUAGAUUGCUGGUGAGAACAAGGAUAAGCACAAGUACAAUUUCCCACCAAAGGUCGAAGAAUGGUUGGAAUUUCAAUCACGAAAGGCAGACUCCGAAGAAGCUGUACUAUAUGACGACAACGAGUGGAAGUAUGAGGUGAAAGAGCCCGGAGGAACCACAAACGAUGGCCACCAACACGGAGGCCGGGCUUUCAAGGUCUCCCUAACACGGUGUGAUUGCAGCUGCAUGAGGCCGUCUUUGCUUCAUCUCCCAUGCUCGCACUUGUUAAAUGCAUCCCGGGUUAGGAAUGUGGACGUCAAUCACCCUCUUACCGUGAGGGAGUCCGAGUUCUCAAUCAUGACGGUAAACAAUACAUGGACUCCACGGUUCCAGCCAUACUUGGACCAAUCACAAUGGCUGGAGUAUCAUGGAGUUCAACUAUGGCCGGACCCG
rnacentral:rRNA from 1 species